ACAGAUAUAAUUAAAAAAAAUACUAGAUGUCUUUCUAAAAAAAGAGGUUACAUCCUCUUACCUGCC